UACGUAGGGUGCGAGCGUUGUCCGGAUUUAUUGGGCGUAAAGAGCUCGUAGGCGGCUUGUCGCGUCGUCCGUGAAAACCCACAGCUCAACUGUGGGCUUGCGGUCGAUACGGGCAGGCUAGAGUUCGGUAGGGGAGACUGGAAUUCCUGGUGUAGCGGUGAAAUGCGCAGAUAUCAGGAAGAACACCCGUGGCUAAGGCGGCUCUCUAGUACGUGACUGACGCUGAGACGCGAAAGCGUGGGGAGCGAACAGG
rnacentral:rRNA from 1 species